UGAGGAACCACGUGACGUCUCCUCUAGCGAUGGAACUCAUUGGUUUCUUCCAAACCAGCGGUCAGACCUGUGGUCGCGGCUGCAGCGACGACUCUGUCUGCGAACAAACUUUGCUGGACCAAACAACAAAAGACAUUUUCCCGAGGAAAAACCACUCGACAUCGAUCCAGAAGGUUUUGACCCCAUGGCUCCCAAGAAGGCUGCGCUGAAGCCUGGGUUAGCAGUCAAAGUGAUCGCUGAGAACUAUGGCAGCAUCCCAGAUGCCCCCCCCCUUGAGGAAUGGCCAUGUUCUACACAUUUACUUCCAGCAUCAGCGAUCCGUUACUGUCACCACUCAACAACUUUCCAGUAUCUUAGGAUCCGACUGCGUUGUGAAACCAGCGCAGGUUCACCAUCUGCUGCAGCGCACAAUCCCAAAAUACGCAAAUUUGAGUCGUGAAAGUGACAGGCGGCAUUUUCUGGAUGUGUGUAACCAAGACUUCUCUUUCCACACCGGGGUUCCGCCUUCACCUCAGGAGGCCCCAUCGGCUUCAUUUGAUGAGCCUCACCUGUCUGAGCCGUCCACGUCUCAGGUAGAUCAGGUCUCACCUCCAGCUGUCCAGACCGUUUCUGAGGUCACUGCUGAGGAAGAACCGAGCGCUAGCUCCACUCCGUCAUCUGCUGUGUUGGUGCGAACCUCGCAGAGAACGACCUUAACUCCCCAGCAGAUGAAAACCCCACUUUCCUCUUUAACCAGGUCCUUUUCUGACCUGAAGAAAAGAUAUCAAGCUUCUGUGAGGUCGCAGCUAAAGUCAAUCAGUGUGCAACGUGUGAAACGCCUUAAUCAGGACAUAAAACCUAAAAAGAAAAUAUUUGCCAGGAAGCGUGCUGUGAUGGCGGUGUUGAGAAAAGAGAUCAAAAGCGGACCUGACAUGGAACAAUUGGAUAAGUUGAGGAAACAGUUGUCUAAUAUGAAGGAAAAGCACAUGCAGUUAAAGAAAUACCAUCAAAACAAAGAGGGUGAUCAAACCUCUGCUCACGAUGGAAGUGAUGGUUCAGCAAAAACUGUUCAACUACUACAGCGUCAACGAAGCAGGGAGGUAGAUCAGGAGAAGGCUGCUCUGCAGCAGAAACUGACAGAAAUGACAAAUGGACACGUCUGAUUCAGAGACGAGCACUAAGUUCAGGUUUGACAGUAGAUGCUGUUCCUCAUCGUUCAGCUGUGGAGGAAGCCUCACAGAAUUAGUUACUUUUGGAAAACUAAACUAAACUGACUGGGUUUUGUCUCUGAUUUUCAGGUUGCUGAGUUUUUGUUUAGCAGCAACAAUCUCACAUUGUGUUUUGAUUUUACGAGGGCUUCAUGUCAAGUUCUCACAUCAGUUAGGGGGGUGGGAGGUGUGAAAGAAGUGGGAGGUUGUGUAGGUAC